rnacentral:rRNA from 1 species
AUGCACGCUGGCGGCGUGCCUAAUACCUGCAAGUCGCGCGAACGGACGAGAAGCUUGCUUCUCUGAUGUUAGCGGCGGACGGGUGAGUAACACGUGGAUAACCUACCUAUAAGACUGGGAUAACUUCGGGAAACCGGAGCUAAUACCGGAUAAUAUUUUGAACCGCAUGGUUCAAAAGUGAAAGACGGUCUUGCUGUCACUUAUAGAUGGAUCCGCGCUGCAUUAGCUAGUUGGUAAGGUAACGGCUUACCAAGGCAACGAUGCAUAGCCGACCUGAGAGGGUGAUCGGCCACACUGGAACUGAGACACGGUCCAGACGCCUACGGGAGGCAGCAGUAGGGAAUCUUCCGCAAUGGGCGAAAGCCUGACGGAGCAACGCCGCGUGAGUGAUGAAGGUCUUCGGAUCGUAAAACUCUGUUAUUAGGGAAGAACAUAUGUGUAAGUAACUGUGCACAUCUUGACGGUACCUAAUCAGAAAGCCACGGCUAACUACGU